AGUUCUUGCGGGAGGAGCGGGGCGGUGCGCUCCUGGCCACGCAGGCUGGAAACUGUAGCUCUUAACGGUUCCCCGCCCGUUGGUGGCAAGGCGGCUGGACUAGAAUCCUAGCAGGCGAUAUGCGAGAAGGCGGGCAGCCCAAGAGGGUUGGGCAGGGCAGUGUGGAUCUCGCCGCUUCCACAGCGAUGCUGGCUACUGAUUUCGGACACCUCCUUGCCAUGGGAUGGAAAUUAAUGUUAUGACUGGAUAAGACAAUUGUGAAGAAACUGCACUUCGAGGUUGUCUGUCUCCGUAUUCCGAUGGAAAAGGCUGGACUUUAGAAGCAUUGCUCGCUCCUUCAGUUUCUAACAAGCCAGUUCUUGGAGAUACUAGGAAGCCAAGAGUUUCCUCCAGGAAUGGAGAUUCCUUGGAAGUGAGGUUCACCUUGAGUCAAGAAAGACGAAUCACACACGGUCAAAGGCAAUUGCCCAGGGUCUCAAGAACAGAGCCAGAAAGAAGAGCUGGGGCCGGCGGGAUUGUGGGGGUCCUCUCUCCCACCUGAAAAGCUACAGCUGCCUGCCGAUCCUCUCAAGAGGAGACCUCUCUGGGCUCCAGCACCUAAAACAGACAAACCUGGGAGGAUGCUUCUCUCUUCUGUGUCACACGUGUCCUGGAGAAAACCCAUGUAUCUGAAUGACCAAAGAAAAGUAUGAGAAAAAGUGCAAAAUCUGUGCCAGGCCAUUCAGUGUCUGGCUGGGGCUCUGGGGUGCACAUGCAUUCCAAGAAGACUGAAGGGUGCCAAGCCUGCAGGAAAUGUCCAUCAGACCUGCCUCUCACACCUGGAGUAGGACUGCCCGUCCAGCUUCAUGAUGCAGAACUGUCUUUAAAAGGUGACUGCAGAUAUGGAGAGAGGGAAUUCUAACCCUGAUAGAACAUGACCAGCUGUCCUGCUGGGGAAAGCUGCAUCUACCAGUGACACGCUGCUCAAACUGGCCCAGGACACACUCUUACUACUUAAGGAAUAAGCCCCACAUUUGCUCUUUGUGGGUAAAAGGAGAGGGUGAGAGAGGAGGGGAGUGUCCGCACAGACAUGAGAAGCCUGCAGAUCCAGAUGACCCCUUGCUGAUCAGAAUAUGAAAGAUCGAUAUGCGGAAACAAUGACCCCAUAGCAGAUGAGCUUCUAGAGCAGGCUUCAACCAUGGGUCAUCUGGACCCACUGGUGGAGAAGUCUGCCCCCACUCUAUGUUGAUGGUCUGGGGGAUACCAUUACUGAGACAGAUUUAAGAAAUAAUCUCUACCUGUUGGCGAAAUCUGGAUGGUCACUUGUGCGAGACAGCAGUGUGCUCUCAUCAGCUUUCCACAGGGCAGGCUGCGGAAAUGGUGCUGAGAAGUCCUUUUGUAAAUUGAUUGUCCAUGGCUGCAGACUUACCAUCAAAUGGAAGAAGAUUCCAAGCUCUCAAAGAAAAGGAAAAAUAGAAGGAUGGAACCACAGACUCUGGGAUCCUGCCAGAGCCUAUUUCAGUGCUGCCAGGAGCUCCUCCUCCCCCUGCAGCUCUGGUCCCCACCUUGGAGCCUCCUUCCAAGGACAGCCUCUGAGUCCAGCUUCCACAUUGACACUGAUUUCACCGGGCGCAGGAGCUGCCUGGGGUUGUCUGGGUGCUGUCUUGGCUCCUUUAAGGCUGUGCUGCUCAGUGGCCCCUGAGAAAGAUCCAAUGAGACAUCUGUGGACAGAAGAAUGCUCUGGUGAGACAGGCCUCAGGGUGACCCCAAGGGGGAUCCGAACCUAAGGAUUCUGGAAGCUUCCAGCCUUUGGCUCCACGUUUCCUCAGGAGAGGUUCAGUCUGCCUAGGACUGGGCCUCCCUUCCCCUGAAUAAAGAGUGAGCAAGAGCUCAGGUUGUGAA
ensembl:lncRNA MIR3147HG MIR3147 host gene